AUGGACCAAUCCAUCCCUUUUUCCCGUGCAUAUGCAUCGGACUCGGAUGACGAUGGCCCCGAUGAAGAAGUUGAUGAGGAGGGGUUCACGCCGAAGGAGGCCCAAGCAUUCAAGAAGGUAUUCGGGCGGGAUCACAAGACACCAUUGUUCAAGGAUCUUAGUCUCGCGGAUGAAGCCGUUGUGGAUGAUGGCAAAUGCAUAUCUCUUGGAGCUAGGCCAAGUUCUCACCGUGAUUUGGAAGACGGCAAGAACGGGAUAUAUCCCGGUUGUGAGUUUGAAUCCUUCUUGGAAUUGAAGAUGUGGCUCGACAACUACUCGGUUACACAUUAUCGUCCACAUAAAGUGGCCAACUCGGACGUCAAUGUGCGUUACACGGUCAAAUGUGAAGUGCCAAGAUGUCCAUGGAUUGUGCGUGCGAGGCCAUGA
rnacentral:rRNA from 1 species